CUUGCCCUUGAUUCAGUUCAAAUUUGCUUCUGUUUGUAAAUGAAUAUUCGAGAAAGAAUGAUCUGUUUUCUUCCUUGCAGGAGAUUGCUGUGAAGGAACAUCUAACAGGCAAGGGAAAACUUUAUCGGAGGAGUCUCAGUUCACCAAAUGUCAAUCGACUAUCGAGUAGCCGCCAAGAUCUAAAUCCAUCAUACAGCCUUGCUUCUUACAAAAGCCGAUGGGAAAGCCAGCAAGAUAUUUCUCAGAUUUCAUCAGAGUCCACAUCCAGUGCAAGUCUCCAUGGUUCAACUCAGCAAAAUGGUUCGACAGA